rnacentral:rRNA from 1 species
AUUGAACGCUGGCGGCAGGCCUAACACAUGCAAGUCGAGCGAGCGGCGGACGGGUGAGUAAUGUAUGGGGACUGCCCGAUAGAGGGGGAUAACUACUGGAAACGGUGGCUAAUACCGCAUACCAUCGGAUAACCCAGAUGGGAUUAGCUAGUAGGUGGGGUAACGGCUCACCUAGGCGACGAUCCCUAGCUGGACUGAGAGGAUGAUCAGCCACACUGGGACUGAGACACGGACCAGACUCCGACGGAGGCAGCAGUGGGGAAUAUUGCACAAUGGGCGCAAGCCUGAUGCAGCCAUGCCGCGUGUAUGAAGAAGGCCUUAGGGUUGUAAAGUACUUUCAGCGGGGAGGCGUGACUCGCAGAAGAAGCACCGGCUAACUCCGUGCCAGCAGCCGCGGUAAUAC